AGGGAUGAUUCUCGCAAUUUAACGCGGAUAUAAAUUCCUCGUGUUUAAUAAGGAAUUUACAGUAGUGCAAUAUUUUAAUAUUAAAGAGAAUUAUUUUAAUUUUUUUUAUUGUAUGUACUUAUGUAUUGGUACAUACUUGUAUACUCGGUGUGAAACAUACAGGGUCUUAGUUAACACAUCACGGUGAGCUGGUCUGUUAUAUAAUAUGUCAGGCACUACAGAGCCUUUUAACUAGCAAGGCAAUAUCUUAUUAAUAAUUUAAAAUUAUGCAUAUGUAUGUGCACUCUCGACUAAGGUAAAUUAGAAUAAUGGAGUUCUAAACAUCUUACUAUAAGUGGGAGAAACUAAUAUUCAUUGAUCUUUUAAAAGAUAGAAAUAUAUGUUACUUACAUGUACAAAUGACUUUUACGGUUGAAUAAGAAUAGAUUGUAAAAUAAAACACCGUAGUUCAUUUCUCAUACUUUAGAUACGUUCAGUUUUUGUGGGUACCAUUCAUCCAUAAGUAAGCAUCUGUGAUGAAUCAUGAAAUUUGAUCAUUGUCUAUUUUUUUAUGAAAAUGAAUCCAUUUAAAUACAUUCCCAUGCACAAAGUUGUAAAAAAAAAAAAUGAGUGGCAAUCCAUGAAAAUUGGUUCUCAUAAAAGCAAACAUGUAAUGUUUUCAUGAAGAUAUAAAUGUAUUGUUACAUAAUUAUAUGAUGUAAUUAAUUCCUGUUGUUUAAUUUUUGUCAAAUUGUUAUCUGAACAGAAUAAAAAAGAAGUUAAAUAUUGCUAC
rnacentral:sRNA from 1 species